rnacentral:rRNA from 1 species
GCCAUGCAUGUCUAAGUAUAAACGAUUUAAUCGUGAAACCGCGAAUGGCUCAUUAUAACAGCUAUAAUUUACUUGAUCUUGACACAAUCCUACUUGGAUAACUGUGGUAAUUCUAGAGCUAAUACAUGCAUUAAAGCUCUGACCUCACGGGAAGAGUGCAUUUAUUAGAACAAAACCAAGCGGCUUCGGCUGUUUCUGGUUGACUCAUAGUAACUGAGCUGAUCGCAUGGUCUUGCACCGGCGACGUGUCUUUCAAGUAUCUGCCGUAUCAACUUUCGAUGGUAGUGUAUCUGACUACCAUGGUGAUCACGCGUAACGGAGAAUAAGGGUUCGGCUCCGGAGAGUUCGCCUGAGAAAUCGCGAACACAUCUAAGGAAGGCAGCAGGCGCGAAAAUUACCCACUCUCAGCACGAGGAGGUAGUGACGAAAAAUAACGAGACCGUUCUCUUAUGAGGCCGGUCAUCGGAAUGGGUACUAUUUA